rfam:Selaginella moellendorffii unplaced genomic scaffold SELMOscaffold_6, whole genome shotgun sequence.
GCUGGAAUAGCUCAGAUGGUCAGAGCGUGUGGCUGUUAACCACAAGGUCGAAGGUUCGAUCCCUCCUUCCAGCG